UCGAACGAGAAUGGAGGCUUCGGCCUCCUAGUAAAGUGGCGGACGGGUGCGUAACACGUGGGUAAUCUACCUUCCGGCGGGGGACAACAGUCCGAAAGGAUUGCUAAUACCGCAUACGUCAGCGGCGCCUACGGGCGCUGUUGGGAAAGAUGGCCUCUCCUUGGAAGCUGUCACCGGAAGAUGAGCCCGCGCCCCAUCAGCUAGUUGGUGAGGUAAUGGCUCACCAAGGCUUAGACGGGUAGCUGGUCUGAGAGGAUGAUCAGCCACACUGGGACUGCGACACGGCCCAGACUCCUACGGGAGGCAGCAGUGGGGAAUAUUGGGCAAUGGGCGAAAGCCUGACCCAGCCACGCCGCGUGAGUGAUGAAGGCCUUCGGGUCGUAAAGCUCUGUGGGGAGGGACGAACAAGCCCGGUGCUAAUAUCACCGGGCCCUGACGGUACCUCCUUAGCAAGCACCGGCUAACCCUGUGCCAGCAGCCGCGGUAAUACAGGGGGUGCAAACGUUG
rnacentral:rRNA from 1 species